rnacentral:misc_RNA from 1 species
GUCGUCUUGUUUUUACUUCAUCAUGGACUAGUGAGCCAGGCUUUUAUAUUAGAUUGUGAUUCAGGCCAUCUUUAUAUGCAUCCCUGUGUACAGUUUCAGAUUCAAACACAGUAUAAAACGACUCUGCAGACAACCAGAGGUAUCUAAUAGAUCCAUGGAAGAUUUGAUUUGACCCACCAAAGGUUAUCUAAGAUGAAUAAUGUUCUCCAAUGUAUUAAAAAUGGGUGGGGUCUUCUCUUUCAUCAUGUUCAGCAUCCUUCUCUUCAAGUUAGCUUGGAAAAGUAGCCUUUCUCAGUUGCCCUCAUCCUAAAAUUAUUGGCUCAGUGAAGGAUUGACAAGAGUUUAAAUGAGAUGGCCUGUGAAAAACACUCCAAUAAUAGUAGCUCGGCAAUUUCAAUUAUCCGUCCUCUAACCCCUGGAAGAGGGCAAUUCCAGAUGCAGCAUUACAAGUUUCUUUUCGUAAGAGCAAAAUAAGGACUCAAAACACUUUCCUCAUCAUUUAACAAAAUAUAGGGGAAGACAAACUUCAUUUAACAGAUUUUACAAUAAAGCAUUUCCUUGGAAUACUGUCAUUACAAAUUAAGCAUAUAGCCCUAACAAACCUUCACUACAUUUGACUCCACAAAGUGGAUACUCCAAAUGGAUCAGAAGUGGAGCACACAAAUUUCCUGGAUUAUAAUCACUUGAACAUACAGGAGGGCCCAAAAUAUGGAACCUCUUUUUAAGUUACCACCUCCGGUCAGUCAUCUUGCCUGAAACCUGAUUUCCAGCAAUGACUACCAGGUGCACAUGAAGAUAUUAUCAAAUGAAAAAGGGCAAGAAACAGCAGAAAAACAAAUUGUGCAAAUCAGGCAGAGAGAUGGGAUGAAAACUAGAGGAACUCAGCUUUACCCCUCUCAAGGAGAAAAUAAUGAUGGUUAAUGUGGCAGCCCAAGGCAAAGUGGUAGCACAACAAAUCUCUGGUUAAUGCAUUUAUCUAAGUGCGGAGUAGACCAGUCACAGGAUCACGGCCAGAAUUGGCAUCCUUAUGUUUCAGGGAAAGAUUUGCAAUCUGGGAUUCAAGGUCCCUGCUGUUAGUUCGGCGAUGGCUGGAAGAUAGUUGCUGCUGUGACUGUGGAUGCUGUUGUUGCUGAUACAAGGUUCGUAGCCUUCCAAUUUCCCUCUCCAAAACUUCAUGCUCCAUGUAUUUGAUAAGCUGCUCCUGAGUUAAACUUUCUAAACGCUGCUUAAGAGCUUUAUUCUCCAUGCUUAGAAUAAGAUUUUGCUGGUUUAGAAAUUCAACCUCAGCUGAAACUUCAGAUCCUUCUGCCUGUAAAGCUUGUACAUUCCUUUCCAGCUCAGCUAUAUAUUGAAGUUUCCGAACCCGGGAACGUUGAGCAAAUUGUUGUUUAGCACGUUUUGUAUCAGUCUCUAAUGCUGAAGACUUGGCAUGAGAACCAUCCUUUCUUUCAGAUGAUUUUUUUGAAUCAUGUGGACCAGAUUCAGCUGAAUCUUGCUUUUCAUGCACUGAAGUUGGAACACAAUCUGCUUCCUGAGGAGCACAUGAUGAGCUCCGUGAAACAGCAUUCUCCCUUGCAGAAGGAAGCCCACUUGGACAUGUCACAACAUUCAAAGAUGAAUCCCAAGCCCUAUUUUUCUGUUUGGUCAUGUUAACAUCAGCAUAGAGAAAGGCUUGCCAAGCAUCUUUGUGAUAAUCAAAGUCUUGAGAUCCCCAAGAAAGUGUUGACACCAUAUUUUUGUAUCUGUACUCAUCCUGUGCUGCACAGUCUAUGUUAGAAGUAUUAGCAACAUCUACAUAUGCAAAGGAGUCACUGGAUGAACGCCGAUGACCUCCUCUACGAACAGGUGUCUCUGGCUCAUUAAGGAGAUCAUCAAGCCAAGAAGGUUGCUCCUCUGUGAGAAGUGUCUCAGAGGAUGUUCGUUGGUGAUGACUGUUUCCAUCUCUAGGUCUUUGAACAGCUUUUGAUCCAAUUACACCACUGGGCACAUAAUCAACAUAUGAUGGGAUGACACUAGGAAAUGGAAUUUUUGGAGGAAGUAAUGCGUGCUUUCCAGAGUACAUAAAAUUUUUGACAUUUGAUGACCCCUUGGAAUUUGCCAUAGCCAAAACAGAACCAGUCCCUU